CACACGGGCCAGGGCUGAGCUUUUCUUUCGCCUCAUAAGCACAAACAUCUCAGUGCUCAUCUGCGGUUGCUGAGUGCUGCCGGCUGCCGUCGGCUUUCCCGCGCUGAGAGCAGCUUUCCCCCCGCAGGGCUGGAGCAGCGCCUACUCCAUCGAGUCCGUCAUCAUGCAGAUCAACGCCACCCUCGUCAAAGGCAAAGCCAGGGUGCAGUUCGGAGCAAAUAAGAAUCAAUAUAAUCUAGCAAGAGCCCAGCAGUCUUAUAAUUCCAUUGUACAGAUACACGAGAAAAACGGCUGGUACACCCCCCCGAAGGAAGACGGCUAAGUGGACGGACUGCCCCAGGCUCGGACCAACGUUGCUUUAAAGAAACCUUCCCACCGUGCAGACCAGCUUCGAGUGCCCAUAACAGCAGCCCGACGACGUUAGCUGAUAGACACUUUAGUGGAUACUCUGUCACCUGACAUCCUGCAUAAGUUACAGCCUCUCAUUUGCUCAUUGUAGGUAUCUUGGACUCAGCAGUGGGGCCUUUCCUGUAUUUUUCUUGAUAAAUACACACACUGGCCACUCCUUAUCAUCUCUUUUUCUUGAAAAAUGAAAUCUGUUAGCAGGCAGGUCAGCACCAGGUCCUGGAGUUGCAGCCGUAGGUGACGUCUCCCUGUGAGGACUCGCAGUGUGCCGUCCCCUUAGCGCCAAUAAAGGUGAUUGGGUGUUCCUGUCGGUUUAGGAAAUUUAAGGUCUUCUCGAUCACCGUAGCCUUUUCCGGUUGCCAAAAUAACGACAGAAAACCUGCUCCAGGAAUUGUUACACUUUUUAUGGCCUCUCUGGGGCCAUUUCCCACAGACAUGCUCUAAACUGAAUUGCAAGGUGGGGCCACGCAAGCACGUCAGCUGUGGCGGUGAUUCCACGGCAUCGGGCUUGCUGGCUGAAGCUGUUACUGGUUCAAUAUGUCUGAGGAAGAUCUGCAGUCUAGAUCUUGAAGUUAUUUAAAAUACUAAGUCAUUUUACAUUUCCAUUUUAUUAACGGGAUGUUGCAAUCGUUUGUAAACUAAUAAGCUUAUAAAGUGAUUGGCACACAGACAGACUCCUAAGGACAAACAGAUCCCUCACUUGGAGACCUAAAAAUUUUUGCUACAGUCAUAACAAUGGCUUUUACUUAAAGACUAAUAGGAACUCUACACACGUUAGUUCUUUUAUAAAACCUGACUCAGAUCAGUACCCUCUCCAUUCUCUUGCCUUACCUGAAUCAGUCCUGUUUGAUUGGAAGUAGAUUUUUUAUAUUCCCACGUUUGAUUUAAAAGUAAGGUCUAGUUAUUAAGCACUUUUAAAUGAAACCCAGAAGCACAUUUUCUGCACAAAUCACUUACAAAGUUCCAAAGUGUUUCUUAGGCACUUGCUCUGAGAGUCAGUUUUCAACUUUGUAAGCCGCCUGGGAGAGCCCUGCACGGCUGCAGGGCCGCAGCGUGUGGGGCCGCGGGGGAGGCCGUCCUGGGUUUGCGCACGUGGUGACCUCUGUGCUCAGUUCUGAUACAGUGGCUCAGACAACGACAAGGCAGAAUUCUUUAAAGCAUUACAGUUCCUUAAACCUAAGGCUGGAUCUUGAAUACAUUAUUGAAUUCUUUAAUAUCCUGAUGGCUAGCAGGUUGACAGCUGCACAUUUGGCAUGCUUUGUUUUUAUUUGGAGUUUAUUUUUCAUUGCAGAUUUAUUUGGCAAUGUACAGUAAAUUUUGUAAACUUGCAUCAAGUUUAUGAAUAAAGAAUCAUUUAAGAAA